CCAGACUCCUACGGGAGGCAGCAGUGGGGGAUAUUGCACAAUGGGGGAAACCCUGAUGCAGCGACGCCGCGUGAGUGAAGAAGUAAUUCGUUACGUAAAGCUCUAUCAGCAGGGAAGAAAAUGACGGUACCUGACUAAGAAGCCCCGGCUAACUACGUGCCAGCAGCCGCGGUAAUACGUAGGGGGCAAGCGUUAUCCGGAUUUACUGGGUGUAAAGGGAGCGUAGACGGCAUGGCAAGUCAGAUGUGAAAGCCCGGGGCUCAACCCCGGGACUGCAUUUGAAACUGUCAGGCUGGAGUGCAGGAGAGGUAAGUGGAAUUCCUAGUGUAGCGGUGAAAUGCGUAGAUAUACGGAGGAACACCAGUGGCGAAGGCGGAUUGCUGGACAGUAACUGACGCUGAGGCGCGAAAGCGUGGGGAGCAAACAGGAUUAGAUACCCCGGUAGUG
rnacentral:rRNA from 1 species